CCUGUUGAAUACACUGAACCUUUUUUUGCUUUCUCAUAGAAUUCAAAACUGGGAAACAACUAUUCAAAACUGGGAAAAAAAUCAGACCACUUUGGGGUAUCCUUUAAUAAUAAAUGAAUUCAUUUGUAUCAGUCAGUCUAGCAGCUCUGGCCUAUUAUGAUUUCCUUAUGGAUCAAAACCCAAAAGAAUUUCACAGUCUAGAGGUUUAUUUAAACAAUUGGAUUGUCUUGAAAGAACUACAAGCACUAUCAGAGUUAUAGUGAUAGGGAAAAUGGGAACACAACAUGUUCAACUUUUCAAGAUUUUAAUAUGUCAAACACCUUUUAAGAUUUUUUUAUGGCAGAUUUUGCCCUUGAAUAAAGGGUCUGUGGAAGAUCCCUGAGGCAGCAGAACUACAACGGUAAUGGUGGGAGGUUGAGGAGAAUUUUGCAUCCUCUGUAUGUGGAAGACAUGCUUUCUGUCUGUUCUGAAUAAAUCAUGAUAUAGUAGUGUUUUCAGGAGUAGGUCUGGACACAGGAAACUGUAUAGUCUUUUGGUCAGUAGUCCUACAGGUUCUUGGACAGGGCACCCCCAUCUGAAAAAUGUUUAUUUGUUGUUAGCUUCUGUUUCAGUCCCUGUAUGGCAGGGGCAGGCAAUUAUUUUGGGUGGAGGACCGCUUACUGAGUUUUGGCAAGCCAUCGAGGGUUGCAUGACAGGCAGCCCGGGGCAGAUUAACAAUUUUCUGAUUUUUUUAGGGGCCCCACGGGCCAGAUAGAAUGGCUUAGUGGGUUGCAUCUGGCCAGCGGGCUGCAUUUUGCCCACCCCUGCUGUAGGGGCUGGAGGGUUACUCAUACUGAAGUCAUGCCUGUAGGCUGAGAGUAGACUCCAUUAUCUCUCACUUCCACACUGUUUCCUGUGAAAACCACAGUUUACUGGUGCAAUGAGUCAUCUGUAAAUGUUGUAGAACAAUGAUGCUUUUCGGUAGCAUGGAAUGGCAUGAAAACACUCCCUCUCUAUUUUCAUUCACUACAAUUUCCAUUUCUGAAAUAGUCCUAAAGGGAUGUGAUGAUUAGAUCAUGAAUUAGAUUCUAGAUGACAGAAUCAAUUCAAACUAGCAAGAGAUGAUGCUUUCCCAAUUUUGGACUUGUAUGUAUGAUAUGAUAUUUAUUUAUGACUGUUGUACAUCUUGCAUCCAAAGACAGAAGGCUAUGCAAAAUUAUAGAAGCUGUUGUUGUAAGUGCCACUUUGUGUGUAGGUGGAUAUAGUAGGCAUACCAAGAAUGAUUACUAUAUGCAACACUGAUCAGUAUCUGGCAGGGAUAUAUGUAUAGGCUACAAGCAAAGAAAUAGGAUGAAUAUGAAAAACAUCAAAUGCAGCAUAAUAUUUCAUUGGAAUACACUAUAUAAAUGUAAAGGGUCUGAUUUUAUUUUUCUUACAUCAACUGUACUUGCUACUAUCAUGAGUGGGGUUUGAUUUAUGCCAUAAACAAGAGGAUUAUUUGAGUUGGUCUUACAAAAGAUAUCAGAUUUACCCAAAGAACCUUGUCUGCCUGUGUCCUUAGAUGAACACGGCUACAAUCUACACCCCUGUAACAUGGAACACAUCGAAUUUUGCCAUUUGAAAUGGAAACAGUACAACAGGAAAAAGAAAGAAGCCAAACUCAACAGUGACAUAUAUUUUCUAAGCCUACGCAAGAAACACAACAUCAUUCCCAGAGGACUAAACAUCUACAAUCCUCUGACUACUACACAAUAUUUGAGUUGGUCUAAUAAAAGAUAUCAGAUUUACCCGAAGAACCUUGUCUGCCUAUGUCCUUAGACCAACACAGCUACAAUCUAUACCCAUGAACAAGAGGGUGAUUGGUGGAAGGGCUGUGGAAAAUGUCAUCAACGUGCCAGUGAUACAGAUGUGCAAAAGAAGAGAGGAUAAAAAUUAGCAUCCGCAUACUAGAAAACAGAUAUUAUGAAAACCAAAGGAAGAAAGUCAUGCCUGUGUGCAAACACAGUGAACGAGCACAGUCCUCAUAAAACAAGACAGCAACAAAGCGACAAGAGCACAGCAGAGAAGAGAUGACUGAGAAUGUGAAGACAACUUUAUUAUGAAAUUUCCAAGACAAUAUUGCUUCUAGAUUUUUGCAAGACACUAUUGCUCACAGAAAAAAAUGGCAGCACUACUACUCGAAGGCUUCCUGACAUGUCUCAUUUUAACAAUCUAUUUUUGACUGCUUAUAAUGUAGCUUCCUUGUGUGCAAUCACAUAUUUAACAAAGGUAUUUUUCAAAAAAUGUAAUUAAUAAAACUAUAUGUAUAUCUUGUUUCAAUGCA